rnacentral:rRNA from 1 species
AUUACAAACCAAACCUUCCUGUGAAAUUCUGGUCUCGUCAGAUCUCAGAAGGUAAGCAGGGCUUGGCCUGGUUGGUACUUGUAUGGAAGACUGUUUGGAACACACAGAGGGGUGCUAGUG